AUAUUUGGAGAAAAGGAUGCGGGGCCGGCCAGUAUAUUGUAAACUGAUUUUUGGAUAAUUGAUGGAGGUUAGGGGCUUGCCUCCACCUCUGUCACGGGUUGGCCUGGUAUUGCGGUACCGCCAGGAUCGGCCCACUUUUC